GACGAACGCUGGCGGCGUGCUUAACACAUGCAAGUCGAACGGAAAGGCCCUUCGGGGUACUCGAGUGGCGAACGGGUGAGUAACACGUGGGUGAUCUGCCCUGCACUUUGGGAUAAGCCUGGGAAACUGGGUCUAAUACCGAAUAGGACCACGCGCUUCAUGGUGUGUGGUGGAAAGCUUUUGCGGUGUGGGAUGGGCCCGCGGCCUAUCAGCUUGUUGGUGGGGUAAUGGCCUACCAAGGCGACGACGGGUAGCCGGCCUGAGAGGGUGACCGGCCACACUGGGACUGAGAUACGGCCCAGACUCGUACGGGAGGCAGCAGUGGGAAAUAUUGCACAAUGGGCGCAAGCCUGAUGCAGCGACGCCGGGUGAGGGAUGACGGCCUUCGGGUUAUAAACCUCUUUCAAUAGGGACGAAGCGCAAGUGACGGUACCUAUAGAAGAAGCACCGGCCAACUACGUG
rnacentral:rRNA from 1 species